rnacentral:rRNA from 1 species
CACAUGCAAGUCGAACGGGAUCCAUCGGGCUUUGCUUGGUGGUGAGAGUGGCGAACGGGUGAGUAAUGCGUGACCGACCUGCCCCAUACACCGGAAUAGCUCCUGGAAACGGGUGGUAAUGCCGGAUGUUCCAGUUGAUCGCAUGGUCUUCUGGGAAAGCUUUCGCGGUAUGGGAUGGGGUCGCGUCCUAUCAGCUUGACGGCGGGGUAACGGCCCACCGUGGCUUCGACGGGUAGCCGGCCUGAGAGGGCGACCGGCCACAUUGGGACUGAGAUACGGCCCAGACUCCUACGGGAGGCAGCAGUGGGGAAUAUUGCACAAUGGGCGCAAGCCUGAUGCAGCGACGCCGCGUGAGGGAUGGAGGCCUUCGGGUUGUAAACCUCUUUUAUCGGGGAGCAAGCGUGAGUGAGUUUACCCGUUGAAUAAGCACCGGCUAACUACGUGCCAGCAGCCGCGGUAAUACGUAGGGUGCAAGCGUUAUCCGGAAUUAUUGGGCGUAAAGGGCUCGUAGGCGGUUCGUCGCGUCCGGUGUGAAAGUCCAUCGCUUAACGGUGGAUCCGCGCCGGGUACGGGCGGGCUUGAGUGCGGUAGGGGAGACUGGAAUUCCCGGUGUAACGGUGGAAUGUGUAGAUAUCGGGAAGAACACCAAUGGCGAAGGCAGGUCUCUGGGCCGUUACUGACGCUGAGGAGCGAAAGCGUGGGGAGCGAACAGGAUUAGAUACCCC